rnacentral:rRNA from 1 species
UACGGAGGGAGCUAGCGUUAUUCGGAAUUACUGGGCGUAAAGCGCACGUAGGCGGCUUUGUAAGUAAGAGGUGAAAGCCCAGAGCUCAACUCUGGAAUUUGCCUUUAGACUGCAUCGCUUGAAUCAUGGAGAGGUCAGUGGAAUUCCGAGUGUAGAGGUGAAAUUCGUAGAUAUUCGGAAGAACACCAGUGGCGAAGGCGGCUGACUGGACAUGUAUUGACGCUGAGGUGCGAAAGCGUGGGGAGCAAACAGG